GCACUAAACUGCCUUGCAGCUUUGAAUGUUUGGAUCUGAGAAUCGACUUACAAGUAGUUCUUUUGGGAAGCAGGCUGGCGGAGUUAUCAGUGGACAGUCACGUACGCUAAGUGAGAGGACGCCGAGUGUAUUAUAAGUGGGCCAGGCUAUACUCAAGUGGCUAUAUGGAGUGACGAGCCUUUGCUACAUUGCAGAGAUGGAGAAGGGGUUCUCAGCAGAAACCAUUUAUCUGCCUCGAUGAUCAAAUAAGCUGGCUGAUAAAACAAUGGACAUGUGAUUCACUGGGAGUGGAAGAAUGGUAAUAUAAAGAUAGGAGAAGCUGAGACAAAAAAAGGCUAAAUGACUUAUACAGCUACCCAUCAAGACAAUGAAAGAAUCAAGAGCUGCACCUAGUUUUCCAGACUCCCAAGGCAGCACUCGCGUAAUGGAUCACAUUGCCAAUUUAACUGACGUUUGGUCGGGUAGUUGGAGCAGUCCUAAUUUUUAUUAGUUACUGGAACGGUUUGUGUGAAGAACGGGGCCCCAGAAUUCGAAUUCUAUCCAAUAUUCCUCAUUUCUUUUAUUUGAUCUUGAUCCCUGGAGGAAGAUGAGCAGCCAAACAAUUCUGGAAGCCAGGAUCGUCACAAAUGAGUUGACAGAUGUGAUUGUGAAAAAUGCAAAGCAAAAUUCUUCCUGUUCUUCCAGAUCUAUGAUCCCUCUUUUAAACAUGUCACUUGGAGUUCUUCGAAUGGGGUAAGGGCAGAUCUGUGUUAUGUGAUCAACUGGAAAACAGAGAAAAAUGGUGAACUUUACUUUGUUUGGCCUUGGAUUGCAUCUACAAGUUAAAAUAACUAAAGAACCCUUCCGGUCCUACACCUUUAUGAAACUAUGAAACUCCAUGAAUUUUGUACUUUAAUCCUGAAUUAACCGAAUUAAGAAGAGGAAAGCGUAACGCUGCCACAUGCCUUCUGAGGACCAGCCUUCAUUUUUCCAGAGCAUCUCAUUUAACCACAGGAAUAUUUUUUUCCCUAUAAAGUUGUAUUUAAAUAUUUAUUUUAAAAUAGUGAAGUACUUUCAUAUAAAGACACGGAAAGUUGUUUUAGUUGGCAGGCCUAAGAUCAAAUAAAAUAUCUAAAUGUGGUUUAGAUAUUGACAUUUAUUAUUUUUAUGAGAAAAAAUGCACCCUAAAAGAGGAACUCAAAAUAUUUGAUUAUUUUUCAGGGCUGGAUCCUGGGUCAGGAACUGGUGGAGGUGUCUCUUGUUUUUCAAGAAAGAAAGGCUUGAAAGAUGAGGUAGAUAAGCCUUCUUAAGUAUUUUGUGUGUACAUCAAAAUAGAUAUGCCUACUGUCUUAUGUAUUAGAUAUAUUAAUUAUAUAAAUGAUUUAGAAUUCUAAUUGCCAUACAUUAUGUUAGGUGUAGUGAGCCGAAGCCUGCCAGGCUCAUAACCUGACAACCCCAUAGAAAUCUAUUGCUCAUUUUUUAGUGAAACUGGGAUUCUGCUCAUUUCUACAAUCUUUUCAGUAGUGAAUCAAACCUGGAAUGGCACGUGUCUGUGAACAUGAAAAGUGACAUGUAGCACCAAUCCUGGCAGCAGAACAGAAUCACCGAAAUAAGUUUAGCACUGUAAAGAGGACUUAGUGGGAACGACUGACUCUAAUGGCACUCCCUCUUUCUGCUUCACCAUCCAUCUUUCUGCUAGAAUCUUAAAGAAAUAGUACACGCAACUUCUUGUGAGCCAAGAAUAUGCUGCAAAGCCUUGCAGUCACCAGGAACAGACCUUCCUAAUGUGAUGUCACUUCAUAUGCUACUAGCUGAUUGGUUUCUCACGAGUUACAGUUGUACCUCAAAAUUGAGUUCAUUUUUUCACCUUCUGAAAUUCCAUAACAUGUAAUAACCCUACAAUAGUUAUUCUGUUCUCAUUUACAUCUGUGAGGCCCAUAAAUAACAACCUGAUUUCUUCACUGGCUUCAAUCUUGAUACCAUAUACUACAAAGAAGGAUCAGAGGUGGGGCUGGUCCUGCUUUGAGCAGGGGUUGGACUAGAUGUGACCUCCUGAGGUCCCUUCCAACCCUCAUUUUAUAUGAUUCUAUGAUCAUUUCCUAAUGAUGAUUUUUUUCCUUCUUAAAGGCAAAGCUUCACAUGGAUUUUUGUUGAUGCUUCCAGCACUUUGUAACACAGAGCAUAAUUUUGUCCUGAUUCCUACUUGCUGUGAUACUAAUAACUGCUGCAACACAGUGAAGUGAAAAAGAAACUCAGCUAGUUUAAUUACAGUUCAUUCUUUUUAUUUAGGUCAGUUAAGAUGUGUAAGUUGUGUCUGCUCCAGGUCUACUCAGAUGUGUAAUGUCACUGAGAGUUUGGUUUGGAGAGUAAAGUUUGCACCAACGUCUUUAAGAGGGAAUUGUGCCUCCCCUUUGGAUAAUUUUAUCUUUUUUUAAUUCAUAUACAUUUCAAAGCACCUUAGUGACUGAGGCCAAGUAAAAUUUAGUAAAUGUCUAAGUGAUUUAGGUAUCCUAAGUCUAUUUGACUUCCCUUUGGAUUUCGGUCCCUAUCCUCAGAACUAUUGCAGUUCAUCAUUUUGCAAUAGCCUGUCUAAUAUAUUCUUUUCUUCAUUAAAAAUACAUGGAAACAUGUAUUUCUGCUCCAUUGAAAUCAGGGGCUAGGGAUAGAAAUGACCUCUAAACUGGUAUAAGUGAUUUGAAAUUGAUUCAGAUCUGUAAUACAACAUAAGUUCAGUGCACAUAAACCACUUUCAAAAUGGGUAAAACCAGUUUAAGGUAAACCUGGGUGGAUACAGUAUCAGACUUAACUGAUUUAGGUUAAAUUGGUCUAUUGAACUUCUGUCCCAGAUCCCUUUCAGAUUCAAGUUAAGGCCCUCUAGACUGAAGUUAACUCCCAGUCCCCCAGCAUCCCAGGAUGCUUUACACUUCCCCCACAAACCCCACCUCAGUGGGUGGGCAGGUUAGCCUUGGCUUAAAUUCCACUGAGUAGGGAGGCAUACUCUAGUGCCCCCCGGCUUCUGGCCUGGGCCACUGCAGACAGGUGACUGCAUUUCUGGAAUCAAAAGUGGAUGUCUGUUCACUGGCUUAUUGGUUCAACCUACACACUUACACUAACCUGCCAAGUUUGAAUCGAUUCAACCACAGGCUUUUGGAUGGUCAGUACUUAGCCAGGGUGUGAAGUCUUAUCUGCAGUUGAAGCUUUCAGGCUCUUUUCUCCUGACACCUUUUGACAAAGAGUGACACUUAAGUGUUUGCAAAGAGGCAUGAGCUUUUCCUUGCCAAUGCUAUGACAAGACUGGUCCUUUCUCUUAGCUGGUGUAAAUAUUGAUUGACUUUGCUGGUUUUAUCCCAACAGUUUAGCUCUGAUUAUCCCAGCACAUAUUUUUUUAACUGCCCCAAAUGUCAAUUAGGCUCCACCUUUCUGAAGAGCUUGAAGAGCCACAGCAGCAUAUUUUUGAAACCGGGUUAUGUUUCUAAUUCGUUCUGCCUGGUGAUUCAAUGUUGCUGGUUAUGCUUUAAAUCAUUUACUCCAAUAAAUGUGACAGCAAAUAUGGCAUAGUGGUAGUGUCCAUGAUGAGACAUAAAUUAGAUUGUAGGGGGUCUGGCUUGUAGCUAUGUCAGAAGUAGGCUGGAAAUCAACCUGAACUAACCACCACAGCUUCAUUAAAAGCUUGAAAAUGCUGUCCUUGUCUGUUAAAACAUGUUGCAUUUCAGUGUUCAGACAGAAAGGAGAUUCAUAGUGUUAAUCCUGCAGGACUGCAGACUCCUAAAGACUCUGUAGGAGUCUUCGUUCUGGAGGAGACUCAUUCUGUCCGGGCUUUCUACAUAAAUGUUUGUGUGCAUCUUUGGGUGACGUUAGGAGUAUUGGUCUAACAAGCUAGUUUCAGUAUGACAAACGAGUGAGCAGGAGGCCUGAAAAAUAUCAUAGAAAAACUAUUUAUGUCAUUUAAAAGAACAUUUUUUUUGCCUGCUUUUUUAUUGUAUAGAAAUUACCUUGAGAAGUGAAACAUGGCACCUCAGAAUUCAAAUGGUAUCUUUUUUUUAAGGAAAGACCUAAAAACAUUCAUCUCUGUACAUGUGAUAGCAUAUUUUCAAGCUCCUUUUGCAAUAUCACACAUUUUUAGUGCAAACUAUGUAGCUGAAUGGUAUAGCUAGUGCACCAUUCAAGGGAGGCAAAUUUAUUUAUUCAUAUUUAAAGUUACAGGUGUAUAAAAGAGGAGGAGGCAGUUGUAAUUCCAAAUGCUGUUUAGCCUCUUGUAAGUAGUGCCAUUGUCUCAAAUUAAUUUGUUUUCUUGAUCUCUGGAGGAAGUUUGGUAAUAUGAAAAUAAAAUAACUAGCUGAAGUGGUGAUGCACUAUAUGGUUUCUUUUAGUCCUGCAUAUAUAGCCAUCAAUAAGAAUCUCUCAAGGGUUUUUGGAAUACAAACUCCGGGUCUAUAUACAUUGUGUAUGAGCGUGUAUAUUAUUUAUCUUUGCAUUAGCAUCUCUUUUAUCCAAGACCACUGAAGUACUGAGUUUUACAGUUUUAAAUUGUGAAAGAGAUUUCUUUAGAAAAUUGGACCAAAUUCAGUCACUGUUGUUUGUUUGGGGGUUUUUUGUUUUACUGAUCCUAAACUGGUGGUAAAAGAAGAAUAAGGAGGAAAAAAGACUUUUCUAAACUGCACAGACCUUUUGAAUUUGAGCUUAACAGAAUCGAAUAUCUGUAAAACUCCAGACAUACCAGGCACUCACUUAAAAUUCAACAGCAUGUUGUCACUUCCAUGAUGAAACGGAAAUCUGAGCCUGAUGGUUGUACUUCACAGGAGAGGCCACCAAAUCAAAUGCUAACAAUGUCUGACACGCAAAGCAAACACAGCUUCCAACGUGUUUGUUGCAACAAGUGGGGCUCCAAGCCUGGAAGAGGGUUCUGCGCAUUGGAAAACUCUAAGCAACGUGCCGUGGCUAUGAUUAAUGAAGAAGUUGACUUGGAACAGUCCAGCUCAGAGGGAGGUGGCAACCCAAGGAAUUCAUCAUAGAAAGCUGUAAAACAGGACGUUAAAACAGACAUUGGGUUAAAAUAUACAACUGAAAAAAAAAAAAGUUAAUUUGUUUUCAUCUGCUGGUUACAUUCCAAAAGGUGAAGUUUGUUUUUUCCUUUUGAACCUGCCCUGGAGAGGAGACACGCACCAUAUGCCACCAGUGGCCCUUAUACAGAGAACUCUAACAAGAUGUUUGCCAGAGUUUUGUACUGUGUUCACCAAGCCCUUCCUCCCAGCCCCAUUUCAGGCUGGUUAGUUGAAAUUAACUUCGGACUGGAGAAAAAAGGUGCUGUAUGAAUAGGCCUUAAAAAUGAAAUGGCCAUCAAUCCACCCAACUGGGAAGGCACAAGGAAAACUACAUGAUGGCUGCUGCAGCAACUUGCAUGGGUUGGGUUAUGGUGUUGUGUGUUGUAGUUGACUUGGUUGGAUUUGUAUUUGAUACUCCCCUUCCUCCCCAACACACAGAGGCCACAGCAACAUAUCUGCUUCUUCAUACAUGUAUAUAUUUCCAGACCAGAAAGCACCACUGUGAUAAUAUAGCAUGACCUCCUGCAUAACGCAGGACAGAGACUUUCAUCUAGCGAUUUCUACAAUGAAGGAGAAUCGUUCGUCAGUGCCCUGUAAGUGAAUGGUGAUCCCAGUAAAUUGGACUUGAACUACAACACUACAUGCAUGCUAUAUGCUAUUGGUUAUAGAAGUCAACGCCAUUUUUAAUCUCUCAAGGUCCUUAGCAUCAUUGCAAAUCCAGAAGCUCCAGGAAUUCAGCCUUUCAGCUGUUGGCAGAGAUGCAGUCAAACUUGUCAAAGGCUGAAUACUUGUAAAGGGAGCCAAAUUUAAUCAGGACAAUAAUGCAAAGCAUAGCGUAGACUUAAGCAGCAAGGUUCAGUCUGUCAUUUUCUAUUAGUCAAUAGCUAAAAUAGAAUAACUCCCCUAUGCCGCUCUGUGCUUUUCAAACAUGCCCUGAUUGUAUCCUUCCAAUACAAAUAAAAUGUCAUAUUGUGUCAGUUGCUGAGACAAAGUUACAAGAAGACACCCCUCCCCAUUCUCUUCCUUCCUCGUUGUUUCGGUUUAGACAAAUAAAAAGUUCCAUUUGUCCAGUUUGUAGCUCAGUCUUCCGGGUUCUCUCAAUAGUUAAAUCAUCCAUGAUUAAAUUUGCUGGUCCACUGCAAAGUAGUGAAUUUCCAUAUCCAAACUGAAAGAACAGUCCAUAUCGCUAAUUUCUCCAUUGGUUUCCACCUUUGCAAAGUAAGCAUAAAAUGUUGCUUUCCUGACUUGAAAGCCUUUUAAACUUGUUUUUUCCAGCAAGAAGAUGACAUGAGGCACAAGCCAAUCAAACUGGCACAUCCAGAUGCCUAACUCAUUGAGGCUGGGUUUCAGUCUACAAUUUGGGGAGAACUAGAUUAGGGUGGGUGUCAUGUUUGCUGGUUGUGACCCCCUGAGUGGGGAUCUUGCGAUGCCAUCCACUGACAGUCUGUCCAGUCCUAGACUGUGAUUGGUUAGUGAGAAUUUUGUCAUCGUGAAGAUGUAUAAACUUUCCUGUCUUACCAUCAGUCAGUGUUUGCUGAGGCUCUUGUCUCCUCCAUGCUCUGAAAAAAGAGCAGAAAGGCACCAUAUAAUUCUUUGAAUUCUGGAGACCCUGUUUCUUUUUCUUCUUCUUCUUCUAGACUCAAUGAAAUGACUUCAGUGGUUUUAGAUCAGGUGCCUGUUCUGAAAUGAAGAUCUGCACUGUUGGCCAAGAAGCCAAUGCCUAAUCUGAAACAUGUUCUUUAAAAAAAAAAGCACAUGGCUUAAACAGAUGCUUAAGUUCUAUUAACCUUAAUGGAAAGAUCUCAUGAUUAAUAAAGGACACAGCCUGACUCCUUUUGGUUAAAAUAAAAUGUAAAAUGUCACUUUACAUAUAGAAGUAAAAAGAUAGAAGAAAAGGGUUGAUAAGACGAAGGAAAGAUUGAUGGGUACAUGGUUGAUAGAAAGAUAGGCAGAUGGGAAUAGGUGUAAUACUUAUGGAGGCAAAAUCUGUAGUCCAAACAAAGGCAAAAUACCCUUUGGCUACCAUGGGAGUUUAACUGUUGAAAGGACAAUAGCAUCAGAGCUUUAAUAUGUUAAAAUGGGGGUCCUGGCACUCUGUACUCUGGGUGGGCCCAGAGGGUCUGGUAUCCAUUAGAGUUCAACAUUUAGCCGAACCAAAAGAUUAAUUCUUUUGCAGGAACUUAAGCAAACCAAUAGCAGCUGAAAGUUAAUCAAGCCAUGAUCCUCACAAUCCUCUUAAUCACAGCCAGCUGCUACUUAAAGCCUAGAAGGAGCAACAUCCCCAGGGCAACCAUCCUAGGGGGUGGGGAAAGCAAGUCCACGAGAGCACCCUCUCUUCUUGAAGGGCAUUAAAAAGUUAAUAAAAUAAAAGUUAAUGCCUUCAAUCAAGGGAAGUUCUGAAGCUUCCAAUAUUAAUCUCUUCCCGCCUUCCCCAGCUGCAUAUCCCUGGAAGGCAUUUGAUUUGUACUAAAAUAUUUGCUCAUAACCCAAGUUUCCUCCAUAGUCCAUGCAACAGUCGACACUUGGGUGUGUGUCUUUUUUUAUUUUUUUGCUUUUGCAUUCCAAGUGUCUCUACAAUUUUAAAACAUAGUCCAUGCCAAUAUAAUUUACGUUGGCUGGAUAUUCUUGUCUUCAGUUUCUUUUAAGUUGCCCAUGUCAGUCUCUUGGUAUAAUAUUGCACCUAGUUUGACAAAUUUGUUAUUCUCUGUUUGAACUGGAUUCUUUUUCAGGGUCUUUAGCAGCAUAGCUGCCCAUUACGAGGCCUUUAUAACCUAAGUACAUUGCAUAGGCCCCAUGACAACAACUUUGAGUGCCUUACAAUCCCUAGCAUGUUAAUCGUCACAAGAUGCAAAGGAGAUAGAGAAAUGCUGUUAUGGAGGAAACGAAGUCUUGAGAAAUUAAAUGAUUACACAUGUCCACAAUGGACAUCUGUGGCAGAGCAGAGGUUUAAACCUGGGUCUGCAACAUCCGUCAGAGAUUCUGCAAGGGCCCUCAUGCCACCUUUCCACAGAUACGUCCUGUGUUUAAGCUGUUGUAAUAAUGAGAUCAUCUGUUACAGCUAAGAGCCACUGGGCACGUCUACACGAGACUCUAAAAGCACAGUAGGCUAAUUCUACUGCACAUGAGCACAUUGCAGCAAAAGCUAUGCUAAUGGGCUAAUAAGCAGUAGAAUUAGUCUACUGCGCAUUAUUAGCGUCAUGUAAAAAUCGUGCACCGGCACUACUGCACAGUAGCCCCAAUUUUGGCACUAAACUGAAUGUGCUGUAAUUAGGGUGCAUUGAUGCGUGUGUAGACGUGCCUACUGUUUGAAACAUAGGGUACUGUGAACACAGAGAAGGUAGAGGACUUCAGUUGUAAGUGUUAGGGGUUCCCUUUAAUUAAUUGAGAGGUUGCAAACUUAUUUAUGAAAAUGGGAUUUAAAUCGAGUCAUGCCCAUAGGGUUUGAGAAAGAAUGGGCUGACCAAGCACCAGGAGACACGUCCCUAGCCAGGCAUGGCUGAGAGCAGAGGCAGUGACAGCACAGUAACAAAGUGUGUUGUAGGAGUGCUCACACCUGAUUAAGCUAAAACCCUGGGGCCAGGGAUGGAUGUAACAUGAGGUACAAAUUUGUUCCCCAUGUCAUUUUUUAUAUAAAAAGUUACUUGAUUCAUCAUCAGAUUCAGGAAGGAGUAGGGGUUUUUUAAAUUUCUUUUUCUUACAGAAAAACAGGGAUGCCAUCAAAGGUACCUCAGUUUUAUUCAACUAUCUGUCUCAUAUUUAACAAGUCUGUAUAUAUAUAUAUUUUUUUUAACUACAAGCUACGGUCAGCAGCUUAAUGCCACUGUUUAUUAUCUUUGCCGUGGCAAAUACUUUCCUUAAUAUUUGGUUUUCUAGAGUGUUCCACCAUUCACCGCUUAAUGUACGUACAUUCCUGCAUGUAAAAGAGGCAGCAGAUUGGACAGGCCACAGACUUUUAAUUUUUUUCUUAGUACAGGAAAUGUCAAAAUUUUAAGCAAAUAUAUUUCCAUGAAAGGAAAAACACCCAGGCAAUCCCAUAAACAUGCCGUUAUGAAGGUUUCUGCCAUACAAUUAAUGUUUUGAAAAUACGCUGGCUCACAUUAUAAAUCAAUUGCAAGGUUUUAACUUCAUAGAUUUAGUGUUACAUUUUAAAUAUGUUUAUAUCACUUGAAGUUUGUUGGUAAACCACUAGCAAGUAAUCUAACUCUUAUGCUGGCAAGGACCUAAACUAGAAUGACCUAAUAGGUUUUUUUCCAUCUCUACUAGGAUUUUCUGUAAUAUAUUUUGAUGGGUUUAUCCAUGUACUAGGAAUUUUCCACUUGAGUAAAGCAGGAACCAUUCGAAAUGGACACAUUAAAUUGAAAUGUGUAAAUGCAGGGCAAAAACCAGAAUAAGUGUUCUUUCAAGUUGUUUAGAGAGAGUCAUUGGACGCUUCACUUCUUCACAUUGUUAUUCCUGUUAUCCCCCCACACCCUCACCCACAACAGUGGUAUACCUCUGUAGGGAUCUGCAUUCUGAACAUCUUCAUUCCCAGAGGUGAAACAUCUGCAAAUGAAAUUAUGAUGCAAAGGUUUCUGGUGCUAUGACAUCAUAUUGUUGUAUCCAAUCUGCUGUCAGGAUUCCUCAAUUUCUUCAUCACAUCCUAAAAUAAGGGUGCCCAGAAGCUGAAGUUUUAGUAGAUCUCCUUAGUGAAAUGUUUUAAUGUAGUGGACGAAGAGGAGACUUGGGUGCUGUGUAAGAUGCAUCUUUAAUAAUGACAGUCGCCUUUGCUUCCUUUACUAAGACUGGUGCAGAAGUGACACGUCCAGAAGUGACCACUGGUCCAGAACAGACAUGUCCAGAAGUGAUCACUGGUCCAGAAGAGACAGGUGUAGAAGUGACACAUCCAGAAGUGACCACUGGAUCAGAAGAGACAUGUCCAGAAGAGACAGGUGCAAAAGAGACUGGUCCAGAAGUGACCACUGGUCCAGAAGAGAAAGGUGCAGAAGUGACCCAUCCAGAAGUGACCACUGGAUCAGAAGAGACAUGUCCAGAAGAGACAGGUGCAAAAGUAACACAUCCAGAAGUGACCACUGGUCCAGAAGAGACAUAUCCAGAAGAGACUGGUCCAGAAGUGACCACUGCAGCUGUAAAGCUCUAUCCUGGCUCUUGCCUGAUGUAGAAACCCCUUUAAAUCAGGUGCUUGAAAACUUAAACAUGGCAAUAGCAACAUUGACUAAAAUAUAAUUUUAAGGAUUUAAUGAUAAGCACCUGAGCAGUUCUGGGUUACACUUGCACCAUACGAAACCUGUGGGAUGUUAAACAGUGUUCAGGCUAGAACAUGCUGUGAGCAGUUGCCCAUCAAGGGCUAAUACUGUUUCCUGCCUGAACAGCUUUGACUUGCCCCUAAAAGGCUGGCAAGCAGGGGUCUGGCAAGGAGCCAGGGCACCUGGGGCCUAUCCCUGCUGUGGGUGGAUGAGCAGGGUGGGGGGUACCUGGGAUGCUGGAGGACUUCAAACUGCUUGUGUGAUCUCUGUGGAGUAGACUGAAGUUACCCUAACAUGAGCUAGGUAGUACAGCCCAGGGUUAACCCUCACCUGAAGUGGCAUAAUUUGGAAAUGCUCAGAAGGUACUUGUAAUGUGAAUGCCUGCACAUUAAAGCUCAUGAACUCUU